rnacentral:piRNA from 1 species
UGAGAUCAAGAGCCACAGAAAGAAGGGGAA